AUACGGAGGGUGCAAGCGUUAAUCGGAAUUACUGGGCGUAAAGCGCGCGUAGGCGGUUUGGUCAGUCGGAUUUGAAAGCCCUAUGCUCAACCUGGGAAUGGCAUUCGAUACUGACUGACUUGAGUAUGGUAGAGGGAAGUGGAAUUUCCGGUGUAGCGGUGAAAUGCGUAGAUAUCGGAAGGAACACCAGUGGCGAAGGCGACUUCCUGGGCCAAUACUGACGCUGAGGUGCGAAAGCGUGGGGAGCAAACAGGAUUAGAAACCCCAGUAGUCC
rnacentral:rRNA from 1 species